GACGAACGCUGGCGGCGUGCUUAACACAUGCAAGUCGAACGGAAAGUCCCUGCUUUUUUGCGGUGCUCUAGUUGCGAACUGGUUAGUAACACUUGAGUAACCUUCCCUUGACUUUUGGAUAUCUUCAUAAAACUGGUUCUAAUACCGCAUAUGAUCUCCUGCUUCAUGGUGGGGGUUGGAUAGUUUCGCCGGUUGGGGAUGUACUCGCGGCUUAUCAGCUUGUUGGUUGGGUAGUGGAUUACCAAGGCUUUGACGGGUAGCCGGACUGAGAGGGUGACAGGCAAAAUGGGGAAUGAGAUACGGCACAGACUAGAACGGGAGGAAGGAGAGGGGAAUAUUGAACAAUGGGAGGAAGGAUGAUGAAGAAAAGCAGAGUGGGGGAAGAAGGGAAUGGGGUAGUAAACAGAUUUAGCAUGUGACGAAGCGUGAGUGACGGUAAUGGGUAAAGAAGCAGCGGCUAACUACGU
rnacentral:rRNA from 1 species